AACGAACGCUGGCGGCAUGCCUAACACAUGCAAGUCGAACGAGAUCUUCGGAUCUAGUGGCGCACGGGUGCGUAACGCGUGGGAAUCUGCCCCUUGCUUCGGAAUAACAGUGAGAAAUUACUGCUAAUACCGGAUGAUGUCUUCGGACCAAAGAUUUAUCGGCAAGGGAUGAGCCCGCGUAGGAUUAGGUAGUUGGUGGGGUAAUGGCCUACCAAGCCGACGAUCCUUAGCUGGUCUGAGAGGAUGAUCAGCCACACUGGGACUGAGACACGGCCCAGACUCCUACGGGAGGCAGCAGUGGGGAAUAUUGGACAAUGGGCGAAAGCCUGAUCCAGCAAUGCCGCGUGAGUGAUGAAGGCCUUAGGGUUGUAAAGCUCUUUUACCAGGGAUGAUAAUGACAGUACCUGGAGAAUAAGCUCCGGCUAACUCCGU
rnacentral:rRNA from 1 species